AUCUAUGGGGAAGCACGGACAUUAAUGAAAGGGGUAAAUCUAUCAAAGUUUGGCUGACAUCACCGGUAUUCCUUCUUUUGCGAGCGUAUAAAUAUGGAAGUGGAUAAAAUCAAAA